rnacentral:lncRNA from 1 species
UCCUCGCCUUUGCGAGUCUCUCGUCGCUCCUCCCUGGUUUUGCGUGCCUCUUCCCUAUCCCUCUGCUGCUCCGACGUCGGGUGGCCGGGGCUUCGACGGCUUCCCUGAGGGAAGGGCUGCAGGCUGAGGCCGCCUGUCCCCCCCACGUGCCCCUGCGUCAGCGCGGCCCGCAGGACGCCAGCUGGACUGCAUCCAGCAGCAGCGUGGUCAGAAAUCUGCGAUGACGGGUACAAGGCAUAUUCGUACUUCUAAAAAUUUUCCUUAAAAAUUGUUCAGC